UGAUUCAGCGGCGGACGGGUGAGCAAUGCCUAGGAAUCUGCCUGGUAGUGGGGGACAACGUUUCGAAAGGAACGCUAAUACCGCAUACGUCCUACGGGAGAAAGUGGGGGAUCUUCGGACCUCACGCUAUCAGAUGAGCCUAGGUCGGAUUAGCUAGUUGGUGAGGUAAAGGCUCACCAAGGCGACGAUCCGUAACUGGUCUGAGAGGAUGAUCAGUCACACUGGAACUGAGACACGGUCCAGACUCCUACGGGGGGCAGCAGUGGGGAAUAUUGGACAAUGGGCGAAAGCCUGAUCCAGCCAUGCCGCGUGUGUGAAGAAGGUCUUCGGAUUGUAAAGCACUUUAAGUUGGGAGGAAGGGCAGUAAGUUAAUACCUUGCUGUUUUGACGUUACCAACAGAAUAAGCACCGGCUAACUUCGUGCCAGCAGCCGCGGUAAUACGAAGGGUGCAAGCGUUAAUCGGAAUUACUGGGCGUAAAGCGCGCGUAGGUGGUUCGUUAAGUUGGAUGUGAAAGCCCCGGGCUCAACCUGGGAACUGCAUCCAAAACUGGCGAGCUAGAGUAUGGCAGAGGGUGGUGGAAUUUCCUGUGCAGCGGUGAAAUGCGUAGAUAUAGGAAGGAACACCAGUGGCGAAGGCGGCCUUCUGGACUGACACUGACGCUGAGGUGCGAAAGCGUGGGUAGCAAACAGGAUUAGAUACCCUGGUAGUCCACGCCGUAAACGAUGUCGACUAGCCGUUGGGCUCCUUGAGAGCUUUGUGGCGCAGUUAACGCGAUAAGUCGACCGCCUGGGGAGUACG
rnacentral:rRNA from 1 species